rnacentral:rRNA from 1 species
UGGGGAAUUUUGCACAAUGGGGGAAACCCUGAUGCAGCGACGCCGCGUGAUUUAGAAGGCCUUCGGGUUGUAAAAAUCUUUUCUAUGGGAAGAAAAUGACAGUACCAUAGGAAUAAGGACCGGCUAAUUACGUGCCAGCAGCCGCGGUAAUACGUAAGGUCCGAGCGUUGUCCGGAAUCAUUGGGCGUAAAGGGUACGUAGGCGGGUAAGCAAGUUAGAAGUGAAAUCCUGUAGCUCAACUACAGUAAGCUUUUAAAACUGCUCAUCUUGAGAUAUGGAAGGGAAAGUGGAAUUCCUAGUGUAGCGGUGAAAUGCGCAGAUAUUAGGAGGAAUACCGGUGGCGAAGGCGACUCUCUGGUCUGUAACUGACGCUGAGGCUCGAAAGCGUGGGUAGCAAACAG